rnacentral:rRNA from 1 species
AACGAACGCUGGCGGCAUGCCUAACACAUGCGAGUCGAACGAGACCUUCGGGUCUAGUGGCGCACGGGUGCGUAACGCGUGGGAACCUGCCCUUAGGUUCGGAAUAACUCCCCGAAAGGGGUGCUAAUACCGGAUAAUGUCUUCGGACCAAAGAUUUAUCGCCUUUGGAUGGGCCCGCGUUGGAUUAGCUAGUUGGUAGGGUAAAAGCCUGCCAAGGCGACGAUCCAUAGCUGGUCUGAGAGGAUGAUCAGCCACACUGGGACUGAGACACGGCCCAGACUCCUACGGGAGGCAGCAGUGGGGAAUAUUGGACAAUGGGCGAAAGCCUGAUCCAGCAAUGCCGCGUGAGUGAUGAAGGCCUUAGGGUUGUAAAGCUCUUUUACCCGGGAUGAUAAUGACAGUACCGGGAGAAUAAGCGCCGGCUAACUCCGUG